rnacentral:misc_RNA from 1 species
AUAAUUAAUUUUUAAUUGAACUUUUGUAUUUAUUUAAUGAUAGCCAAGUAAUUUUAAUGUUUCAAUUUAAAAUAUAAUAUAUAAAUUAUAAAUUACUAGGGGCCAAUAAAAGAUUUGAGGGGCCAGUUAAAGAAAAAUAAAAUUUUACACACAUUUAUAUUUGGAGAGACUAAUAAAAAUUUUGAGAGUGAUUAAUAAAAUAUAAAAUUUUAAUAUACCUAUUAAAAAAUUUUGGGAAAUGUUUGGGGUGGCCAAUGCUACCCUUAGCUCCCCCCCUUCCAACUCCCCCUUGUCUCUGCCCCCAGCGAUGAUGAAGUUGAGUCGCAGAGAUUAUUGUUGGAGGUAUGGUUCUGGUGUUGUGGGUGGCAUUGGAGUGCAAAUUAGUGGUUAGAGAUGAGAGAAGAGGGCAUAUAGGAAGGCUCUGGUGGAGGAGGAAAGCAUGAAGAAGAUUGUUGUGAAAGACCAUGCAAAGGUGAGGAUGGGUAGUUGCUAGGUUUCAGUGGAAAAGAAGGAAAAAAGAAGAGGAGGGGGAGAGUUGAGAGGCAAGAGGGACAGAGGGAGGUUCUCAAUCCUGAAUUUUUUUAGGUUUUUUAUUUUAAUUUUCUUUUUUCAAUAAACUCACUUUCUAACACAUUGAAAUUUUUUAAUAAUAAGAAAAUGUCACGUCGACAAAAAUUUAACGACAUUAUUGGUUUGCAAUAAACUACAAGGCACCUAAUCGUCAUAAAAAAAAACUACAUACCCUAACUUUUAAAAGCGAGUAACCAUAUGAUACUAAUUUGUACUUCCCUAAAACAUGUGU